AAAAUAAAAAUUAGAAGAAGCCAGAGUUAAAUAAAAUAUAAUAAAGAGUGGUAAUAUAAUGGAGGAGUAUUGUACGUAAUAUAAUUGGAGAACUAUAUAAAUAUAAAGUUUUAAGAAGAAAUUUAUUUUCCAUCCUAAGUAAUUUAAAUUCAAUAGUUUAGGAUAAAUAUGUUUGGAACUAUAAUGACUCAUCAGAUAAAGUCAGUUUAUGAUGGAAAACAUAAUAAUAAUAUGAGAGUGGUAGUAUAUAUCGUUGAUUUUUAAACCUAGAAAGGAAAAGAAAUUAGUAGGAUACAGUAGGUAAUUUAAAACGUAAUAAAUUAAUGUAUAUAACAUAUU
rnacentral:misc_RNA from 1 species